CGGAGUCUGCAACCCGACUCCGUGAAGCUGGAUUCGCUAGUAAUCGCGCAUCAGCCAUGGUGCGGUGAAUACGUUCCCGGGCCUUGUACACACCGCCCGUCAAGCCAUGGGAGCCGGGGGUGCUUGAAGUGCGUCGCCGCAAGGCGCGCCCUAGAGCAAAACCGGUGACUGGGGCUAAGUCGUAACAAGGUAUC
rnacentral:rRNA from 1 species